GAUCUGCUAGAUGUGACAGGCUGCCCUGGUUCAGUUAUCACAGUGCUGAUGCUGUCCAUCUUAAAGGUACAGUACUGUGAUAACUGAAGGAUGGCUGCCAUCUUGACAUCUUACCUCAA
rnacentral:pre_miRNA from 8 species